GAUGAAGAACGCAGUGAAAUGCGAUAAGUAAUGUGAAUUGCAGAAUCUCGUGAAUCAUCGAAUCUUUGAACGCACAUUGCGCCCUAUGGUAUUCCGUAGGGCAUGCCUGUCUGAGCGUCAACUCCCACCCUCUCAAGUCUUCUUUUUUGUUAAGGAGAUUUGGAUUACUUUGAGGAAGUAUCGUUUUUUUUUUUAUAAUGCUACUCCUCAGAAAUUCAUAGGCAGUAUGGUCAAACCUGAACCAGGCGUAAUAAUUCUAUAAAAAUCGUCUAUGAAGGAAUGUCUGUAUUAGCCUUUAACCCCCCCUAAUUUAUUUUACUUGGGUGACCUCAGAUCAGGUAGGGAUACCCGCUGAACUUAAGCAUAUCAUAAGCGGAGGA
rnacentral:misc_RNA from 1 species